UCCAUUGUGUGAACAUCAACAGCUCUCCCUACACCGUCACAGCAGCCUCACCAUCGUCUACUCCGUUCCCAGCACAUCAUGCUGUUUGGAGAAAUUGAUAAUGAGAAGUUAACGUGAGAAGGAGUGAGUGCUGCCUGCUGUUUGUUGAUCCUGACAACCACGUCAAGCUUCACAGACGUGCCUGCUGUCAACCAUCACACUACUGGCGGGUGUUGAUGUUGUUGACAGCAGGUAUCAGUGCGCCGUAGGGGACGAUGACGACACAGCAUGAUGGUGGUCGCAUGGAGAGUGCGUGGUCGGUAAACGUGGUUGACAACAGUCGACAGGCGUUGUUGGAGGUUCCUUAUUGGCAUUUGACAUGACCGGAGCACAUCGUCAUCGAAGAUGUCGUCGUCAUCGCCACAGACGUCACCGUCGUCAUCGUCAUCACGGCUGAAGUUUCAAUAAUCGAUGAUGUCAAUUUGAACUGGAAAAGAGGGCAUUGAUCUGCACAAGAAGCAUACGGUGUUAAUGGUAAUACAUGCAAUUACUAAUAAAUCAUCACUGAGAAAACAAA